UUGGAGGGCAAGUCUGGUGCCAGCAGCCGCGGUAAUUCCAGCUCCAAUAGCGUAUAUUAAAGUUGUUGCAGUUAAAAAGCUCGUAGUUGAAUUUCGGGGUUAGUAGGUUGGUCAUGCCUCUGGUAUGCACUGGCCUCACUGAUUCCUCCUUCCUGAUGAGCCGUAAUGCCAUUAAUUUGGUGUUGCGGGGAAUUUGGACUGUUACUUUGAAAAAAUUAGAGUGUUUAAAGCAAGCUAACGCUUGAAUACAUUAGCAUGGAAUAAUGAAAUAGGACGUUCGAUCCUAUUUUGUUGGUUUCUAGGAUUGUCGUAAUGAUUAAUAGGGAUAGUUGGGGGCAUUAGUAUUCAAUUGUCAGAGGUGAAAUUCUUGGAUUUAUUGAAGACUAACUACUGCGAAAGCAUUUGCCAAGGAUGUUUUCAUUAAUCAAGAACGAAAGUUAGGGGAUCGAAGACGAUCAGAUACCGUCGUAGUCUUAACCAUAAACUAUGCCGACUAGGGAUCGGAUGAUGUUAAUUUUUUAAUGACUCAUUCGGCGCCUACGGGAAAC
rnacentral:rRNA from 1 species